AUUGAACGCUGGCGGCAGGCCUAACACAUGCAAGUCGAACGAGUGGCGGACGGGUGAGUAAUGUCUGGGAAACUCCCUGAUGGAGGGGGAUAACUACUGGAAACGGUAGCUAAUACCGCAUACCAUCGGAUGUGCCCAGAUGGGAUUAGCUAGUAGGGGGGGUAAAGGCUCACCUAGGCGACGAUCCCUAGCUGGUCUGAGAGGAUGACCAGCGACCCUGGAACUGAGACACGGUCAAGAGGCCUACGGGAGGGAGCAGUGGGGAAUAUUGGGCAAUGGGGGCAAGUCUGAUGCAGCGAUGGCGCGUGUAUGAAGAAGGCCUUCGGGUUGUAAAGUACUUUCAGCGGGGAGGCGUUACCCGCAGAAGAAGCACCGGCUAACUCCGUGCCAGCAGCCGCGGUAAUAC
rnacentral:rRNA from 1 species